rnacentral:rRNA from 1 species
AUGACCGGCGGAGGUGGUUCGUCGGCCGGAGCAAAAGACGCCCUCGACUCGCUGGAUGUUGGAGGAAGCAGCAGCGAGCCAAAGCCCUUCCUCCAUCGACCUGAUCAUGCGCGGACGCCGGCAUACGAGGAAUACAAUUAUGAUUAUCCGUGCAGUCUAGGCAUAAAUCAUGGUGGUUUCUUUGUUGGCCAAGGUAGCUACAGGAGUUACUGCAAUGGAAAAACUGCUUGGUAUGAUUAUGUGCCGUCUGCGACACUGACCAUGUCUGAAUUGGAAAGGAUAGUUGAAGAUCUAGGCUAUGAGAUGGCAGGUAGAUUGGAUGUAUAUUGGUGUUUGCCAGGGUUGCAAAUUAAGACUGGUGGUCUUAGGAAAAUGAAUUCCCAGGAAGCUUGUGACAAUAUUAGUGCUUGUGUAGUUUUUGGACAUAAAGAAAUUCAGUUAUUCCUUGACCAUGAUGAGAGCUACAGGAGUAUCGAAUGGGAUGAUGUUGUGGUCUUUCCUGUCAAUGAUUUACCUCAUGUGAUCAGUCCUAGGAAAGUAAAAGAGGAGAAAUUUGCAGAGAGAAUGUCUGAACAAAAUAUGGCAGAGGAGCAAGGUGAUGACAAUGCAGAGGAGGCUGGGCAGAACAUGGAAGAGGGGCAAGGUGAUGAGCAAUUCAAUGAGGAAGAAAUUGAGUAG